CAGAAAGUAGUUUAAUUAAAACAUCAGCUUUGGGAGUUGGCAUUGAAGGUUUGAUUCCUUUCUUUCUGA
rnacentral:tRNA from 1 species